rnacentral:rRNA from 1 species
GACGAACGCUGGCGGCGGGCUUAACACAUGCAAGUCGAACGGAAAGGCCCUGCUUGUGUGGGGUGCUCGAGUGGCGAACGGGUGAGUAACACGUGAGUAACCUGCCCUUGACUUUGGGAUAACUUCAGGAAACUGGGGCUAAUACCAGAUAGGAGCUGCUGCUGCGGGGAGGGGGUUGGAAAGUUUCGGCGGGUGGGGAUGGACGGGCGGCUGAUCAGCUUGUUGGUGGGGUAGUGGCUUACCAAGGCUUGGACGGGUAGCCGGCCUGAGAGGGUGACCGGCCACAUGGGGACUGAGAUACGGAGCAGACUCCUACGGGAGGCAGCAGUGGGGAAUAUUGCCCAAUGGGCGGAAGCCUGAUGCAGCAACGCCGCGUGCGGGAUGACGGCCUUCGGGUUGUAAACCGCUUUCGCCUGUGACGAAGCGUGAGUGACGGUAAUGGGUAAAGAAGCACCGGCUAACUACGCG